GAUGAACGCUGGCGGCGUGCUUAACACAUGCAAGUCGAACGGAAAGGCCCUGCUUUUGUGGGGUGCCCGAGUGGCGAACGGGUGAGUAACACGUGAGUAACCUGCCCUUGACUUUGGGAUAACUUCAGGAAAGUGGGGCUACUACCGGAUAGGAGCUCCUGCUGCAGGGUGGGGGUUGGAAAGUUUAGGCGGUUGGGGCUGGACUCGCGGCUUAUCAGCUUGUUGGUGGGGUAGUGGCUUACCAAGGCAUUGGCGGGUAGCCGGCCUGGGAGGGUGGCCACCCUCAUUGGGACUACGGUACGGCCCAGACUCGUACGGGAGGCAACAGUGGGAAGUAUGGCACAAUGAGCCGACGCCUGUUGCAGCAGCGCCGCGUGCGUAAUGACGGCCUUCUGGUUGUAAACCGCUUUCGCCUAUGACGAAGCGUGAGUGACGGUAAUGAGUAAAGAAGCACCGGCUAACUACGUG
rnacentral:rRNA from 1 species